GCAUUGAAGGGGUUGCUAUACAUGCGAGUCGAGCGGACCUCUUCGGAGGUCAGCGGCGGACGGGUGAGUAACACGUGGGCAACCUGCCUGUAAGACUGGGAUAACUCCGGGAAACCGGAGCUAAUACCGGAUAACCUUUUGAACCGCAUGGUUCAAAACUGAAAGACGGUUAUGCUGUCACUUACAGAUGGGCCCGCGGCGCAUUAGCUAGUUGGUGAGGUAAUGGCUCACCAAGGCGACGAUGCGUAGCCGACCUGAGAGGGUGAUCGGCCACACUGGGACUGAGACACGGCCCAGACUCCUACGGGAGGCAGCAGUAGGGAAUCUUCCGCAAUGGACGAAAGUCUGACGGAGCAACGCCGCGUGAGUGAUGAAGGUUUUCGGAUCGUAAAGCUCUGUUGUCAGGGAAGAACAAGUGCGGGAGUCACUGCCCCGUGCCUUGACGGUACCUGACCAGAAAGCCACGGCUAACUACGUGCCAGCAGCCGCGGUAAUACGUAGUGGCAAGCGUUGUCCGGAAUUAUUGGGCGUAAAGCGCGCGCAGGCGGUCUUUUAAGUCUGAUGUGAAAGCCCCCGGCUCAACCGGGGAGGGUCAUUGGAAACUGGAGGACUUGAGUGCAAAGGAGGAGAGUGGAAUUUCCACGUGUAGCGGGUGAAAUGCGUAGAGAUGUGGGAGGAACACCAGUGGCGAAGCGACUCUCUGGGUCUGUAGCUGACGCUGAGGCGGCGAAAGCGUGGGGGGAGGCGAACAGGAUUAGAAUACCCUGGUAGUCCACGCCCGUAGACGAUGAGUGCUAUGGUUAAAGGGUUCCGCCCAUUAGGUGGCUGCAGCUACGCAAUAAGCACUCCGCCUGGGGAGUACGGUCGCAGACUGAACUCGACGAAUUGAACUGGGGUCCGCACUAGCGGUGGAACAGGUGGCUUAUUUCGAGCAACCCUAAGACUACGGUCUGGACUCCCUGGCCAUUCCGAAUUGAACGCUCAUCGGUCAGAUGACGCGU
rnacentral:rRNA from 1 species